rnacentral:rRNA from 1 species
GGAGGCAGGAGUGGGGAAUAGCGCCAGGGCGAAAGCGAGAUGCAGCUAACCGCGUGAGGGAUGACCGUCUUCGGGUUGUAAACCUCUUUUAGCAGGAAUGAAAUUCAAGUGACGGUACCUGCAGAAAAAGCGCCGGCUAACUACGUGCCAGCAGCCGCGGUAAUACGUAGGGCGCAAGCGUUAUCCGGAAUUAUUGGGCGUAAAGAGCUCGUAGGCGGUUUGUCGCGUCUGCUGUGAAAUCCCGAGGCUCAACCUCGGGCCUGCAGUGGGUACGGGCAGACUAGAGUGCGGUAGGGGAGACUGGAAUUCCU